rnacentral:rRNA from 1 species
UGGGGAAUAUUGGACAAUGGGCGCAAGCCUGAUCCAGCAAUGCCGCGUGUGUGAAGAAGGCCUGCGGGUUGUAAAGCACUUUCAGUAGAGAAGAAAAGCCUAGGGAUAAUACCCCUGAGUCUUGACGUAACCUACAGAAGAAGCACCGGCUAACUCCGUGCCAGCAGCCGCGGUAAUACGGAGGGUGCGAGCGUUAAUCGGAAUUACUGGGCGUAAAGCGCGCGUAGGCGGCUUAGUAAGUCAAAUGUGAAAGCCCCGGGCUUAACCUGGGAAUUGCAUUCGAUACUGCUGAGCUAGAGUAUGGUAGAGGGAAGUGGAAUUUCCGGUGUAGCGGUGAAAUGCGUAGAUAUCGGAAGGAACACCAGUGGCGAAGGCGACUUCCUGGGCCAAUACUGACGCUGAGGUGCGAAAGCGUGGGGAGCGAAACAGGAUUAGAUACCCUGGUAGUCCACGCCGUAAACGAUGAGAACUAGAUGUCGGGAGGAUUUAGCCUUUCGGUG